AGUGAACGCUGGCGGCAGGCCUAACACAUGCAAGUCGAGCGGCAGCACGGCAAUAGCAAUAUUGUGGGUGGCGAGCGGCGGACGGGUGAGGAAUGCAUCGGGAUCUACCCUGUCGUGGGGGACAACGUAGGGAAACUUACGCUAAUACCGCAUGAUCUGGAGACAGCAAAGCCGGGGACCCGCGAGGGCCUGGCGCGAUGGGAUGAGCCGAUGUCCGAUUAGCUAGUUGGCGGGGUAAAGGCCCACCAAGGCGACGAUCGGUAGCUGGUCUGAGAGGACGACCAGCCACACUGGAACUGAGACACGGUCCAGACUCCUACGGGAGGCAGCAGUGGGGAAUAUUGGACAAUGAACGAAAGUUUGAUCCAGCAAUAUCACGUGAAUGAAGAAGGUUUAUUUUAUUGUAAAGUUACUUUCGUACGAGGAAGAUAAUGACAUUACUCGUAAAGAAGUACCCGACUAACCUCGUGCCAGCAGCCGCGGUAAGGUCGU
rnacentral:rRNA from 1 species